UCACUGGUGUUCGGGUUGUCAUGCCAAUGGCACUGCCCGGUAGCUAAAUGCGGAAGAGAUAAGUGCUGAAAGCAUCUAAGCACGAAACUUGCCCCGAGAUGAGUUCUCCCUGACUCCUUGAGAGUCCUGAAGGAACGUUGAAGACGACGACGUUGAUAGGCCGGGUGUGUAAGCGCAGCGAUGCGUUGAGCUAACCGGUACUAAUGAACCGUGAGGCUUAACCUUACAACGCCGAAG
rnacentral:rRNA from 1 species